rnacentral:rRNA from 1 species
CAAAACGGAGAGUUUGAUCCUGGCUCAGGAUGAACGCUGGCGGUAUGCUUAACACAUGCAAGUCGAACGGGGUGC